AAAGGAGUUCCGGCCCGGGGUUCCAGGCCUGUUUGCUAUGGAAGAGCAGGCUCCUGGAGCAUCGCCACGGCCCGUUGCCUGGAUGGAGGCAGUUUCCACGCGGCACAUUUGGGUGGAAACGCCUAGAGGGAGAAUCUGCAGAAUCUGGGGGCACCUGACACCGGACGCUUCUCGGGCCCUCCGCAGGUGCGGCCAGGCUUGGGCCCUGACUGUCUCCCAGGUGACCUCCAUCUCUGCCCCACCAGCCCGGCUCUGGACCCUGGCCUGUAGAAGGCCCCUCACCACGCCGACAGGGGCCUGUAAAAUGCAAACCCAGCUGUAUCCACCAACUGCUUCCACCACGCAGGUGAAGCUGCCUUCUGCCCAGGGCCAGGAGCUCACGGGGCGUGGCCCGGCCACCUCGGCAACUUCAUGGAGCACCACCCACCUUCACCCUUCACUGAGCCCCCACAGCCCUGCGCCUCGGGGACCCACCCCGGCUGGGCUCGCUCCAGGCGGGGGCUGGGCUGUCGCUGGCUCCACUGGGCCCCUCACACAUGCUGUUCCCACCUCUGGAACACGGUUCCUGACUACUCCCGUCACCUCACCCCACUCACUUGGAAAGGUGGACGCCCGUCACAGCCCCACCCCGACCUGUGUAGCUCUGUGUGGGGCCCUGGCCGCGCUGUAAGUUCCACAAGCCUCUGUGGACCGCGCGGGUGGCCGUCUCUCCCCAUGCCCAGCACAGUAGCCAGCACAUCCUGGAGGUGCACGCGGUGUGUGCCAGAGAAGGGCAGAGACGAUCUCACUCCCGUGGCUCGGACUUUGUCAGGGAACCAAGAAAUGCAGCAGGAGGAGUGUGGUCUCCUUCCUUAUCACGACUGACAUGGAAAAAUCACAAGGCAGGCAGCCUCCCUGUGGCAGAGGCCCGAGGCAGCAAGGUGCACAAACUCCAGCUGUGGGUGAAUGGAUCCCUGCCCCUGUCCACACCUGCUGCUCUGGGCCAGCGGCCUUUUCCACCAGAGGGGACGGGGUCUUGCUCCAAGGACGGCCCUCCCAGUGCAGUCCCCAGUCUGUUGGGCCAGAGGCCUCAAGGCAGUGCUGGUUAAAGAUGGCUGGUCCAGGGCCCGGCCUUGGUCAGAACAUCCAGGUGGGAAGACCCUACUGUAGACCGAAGAAGCCCCUACUCUCUCUACCCAGGUGUGCAGGGCUCACCGGGCAGGUGGGGACCCUCCAGAAACUCCCACUGAGGCCUCAGGAAAAGCCACAGCCUCCUCCCACCCCAGAUGCCUCCUCCCACCCCAGAUGGCAUGAAACUGGCACCCAGUCUUGGUGCCCCGUUCCUUGCCUCCAGUCACCCCUUCUGUCUGCCCCCUGCACACACAGCCCUGCACACAUAUACACUUGCGCACUCACACACCCCCGCACACACACCCCUGACCUCACACUUGUACACACACAUCUGCACUCACACCUGCACACACUCUUGCACACACCCUGCACUCACACAUCUGCAUUCACACUCCUGACCUCACACUUGCACACACACCUGCACACACAUGUGUACACUCACACACUUACACAUGCACACCCCUGCACUCACCCCCUCCACUCACACACACCUGCAUACACACCCCUGCACACACACCCCUGCACACACACCCCUGCACUCACACUCCUGGCUUCACACUUGCACAGACACAUCUGCACUCACACCUGCACACACAUAUACACACACACCAGCACUCACACACUUGCACACACCUUGAAUUCACACCCAUGCACUCACACUCCUGACCUCACACUUGCACACACAUCUGAACACACACAUGCACACUCAAACACAUGCACACCCUGCACUCACACACAUCUGCAUACACACAUCCCUCCACUCACACACCUGGAUACACACAACCCUGCACUCACACAUACCUGCACACGCACACCCCUGCACUCACACACACCUGCGCACACACACCCCUGCAUCUCACACACUUGCACACUCACUCCUGCACACAGAUCUCAGGCCAGCACCUGGCCACCAGGGAGGUUGGGAAGUAGAGGAAGGUGCCCAGAGGCAGAAAUCAUAGACCCAGGGCAGCAGCUGGGCCCUGGAAGGUCCACAGGGAGUGCUAGGACCCCCUAA
rnacentral:lncRNA from 1 species